rfam:Enterococcus sp. 3H8_DIV0648 scaffold00001, whole genome shotgun sequence.
GUUCGUCUUCAGGGGCAGGGUGAAAAUCCCGACCGGCGGUAAUAGUCCGCGAACUGCGCAAGCAGCCGAAUCGGUGUAAUUCCGAUACCGACAGUACAGUCUGGAUAAAGAAGAUAGAG